AUGGAGAAAGUAGGAGAAGAGCCGACUAAAGGGAGCUGUACACUUUGCAGGUGUCUGAUGGUUCUGGAUGCCACUCAGGAAAACCUCCCCAGGAUGGCUGUCGUGAACAUCUGGAUCUGGGGCUGCAGCGUCACUGUUGGGCAGAAUAAUCUCUGUGCUCUUCUCCACGUCCUCAGUGAGGAUGGCCUGGCAAGCAGAACACGGCAGUGGCUCACGUGUGUGCCGAGUGAAUGCACCUCUACACGCUGUUGGAAUGAAAGAAGAGCAUCAUCAAAGGCCAAACCAAAAACAAAACAAAACGAAUAAGCUUCUAAAGUAGCAGAAUGAGGCUCAUCACGAACAGCUGCAGAAACUCGAAUUGCUGCCAGGGAGUAGAUUGAUGUCUGUCUCCACCAGACCACCGUGAGUUAGCUGCUUUGUUACUCUAUGGGUGUUUAAAACUCAACAUUAUUUUUAGAAUUUUUUUUGAGACAGAGUCUCGCUCUUAUUAUCUUAUUUAAUACACAUAAUGAUCCUGUUCCUAUUCCCAUCUGAAAAAACAAGAAAACCUAGGCAAAGAGAGGUUCGACGACUCUCCCCAGGUCACAUGGAUGGUGGAUGGUGAGUGUCAUACCCAGGAUGCAAAUGCUGCUUUCACAAAGAAGUGACCAGAAAGCUCAUGCACUUUUUGAA
rnacentral:lncRNA from 1 species